CACUUGUCAUCUUUAUAUCUCCACCUGUGCACUUUUUGUAGAUCUGGAUAUCUUUCUGAAUGCCUGCAUUCAGGUUUGAGGAUUGACUUGUCUUUCCUUACAUUUCCAGGCCUAUGUUUCUUCAUAUACACCAUGUAUGUUAUAGAAUGUAAUGAAAAGGGCCUUUGUGCCUACAAACUUAUACAACUUUCAGCAACGGAUCUCUUGGCUCUCGCAUCGAUGAAGAACGCAGCGAAAUGCGAUAAGUAAUGUGAAUUGCAGAAUUCAGUGAAUCAUCGAAUCUUUGAACGCACCUUGCGCUCCUUGGUAUUCCGAGGAGCAUGCCUGUUUGAGUGUCAUUAAUAUAUCAACCUCCUCAGGUUUUUACUUGUCGAGUGUUUGGAUGUGGGGGUUUUUUUUGCUGGUCUCUCUUGAGAUCGGCUCCCCUGAAAUGCAUUAGCGGAACAAUUUGUUGACCCGUUCAUUGGUGUGAUAACUAUCUACGCUAUUGACGUGAAGCAGGUUCAGCUUCUAACAGUCCAUUAACUUGGACAAAUUUUCAUUUAAAUGUGACCUCAAAUCAGGUAGGACUACCCGCUGAACUUAAGCA
rnacentral:rRNA from 1 species